UACGUAGGUGGCAAGCGUUGUCCGGAUUUAUUGGGUUUAAAGGGUGCGUCGGCUGCUGUUUAAGUCAGUGGUGAAAGCCGAUCGCUUAACGAUCGAACUGCCAUUGAUACUGAAUAGCUUGAGUACAGAUGAGGUAGGCGGAAUUGACAGUGUAGCGGUGAAAUGCAUAGAUAUUGUCAAGAACACCGAUUGCGAAGGCAGCUUACUAAAGUGUCACUGACGCUGAGGCACGAAAGUGCGGGGAUCAAACAGG
rnacentral:rRNA from 1 species